CAGUAGCCACGGGAACACAGAGGGUGCAAGCGUUAAUCGGAAUUACUGGGCGUAAAGCGCGCGUAGGUGGUUUGUUAAGUUGGAUGUGAAAGCCCCGGGCUCAACCUGGGAACUGCAUCCAAAACUGGCAAGCUAGAGUACGGUAGAGGGUGGUGGAAUUUCCUGUGUAGCGGUGAAAUGCGUAGAUAUAGGAAGGAACACCAGUGGCGAAGGCGACCACCUGGACUGAUACUGACACUGAGGUGCGAAAGCGUGGGGAGCAAACAGGAUUAGAUACCCCAGUAGUCCCUGUCUCUUAUCC
rnacentral:rRNA from 1 species